CCUACGGGAGGCUGCAGUGGGGAAUAUUGGGCAAUGGGCGCAAGCCUGACCCAGCAACGCCGCGUGAAGGAAGAAGGUUCUCGGGUUGUAAACUUCUUUUAUCAAGGACGAAACAAAUGACGGUACACGAUUAAUAAGCCACGGCUAACUACGUGCCAGCAGCCGCGGUAAUACGUAGGUUGCAAGCGUUAUCCGGAUUUACUGGGGGUAAAGGGCGUGUAGGCGGGACUGCAAGUCAGAUGUGAAAACCAUGGGCUCAACCCAUGGCCUGCAUUUGAAACUGUAAUUCUAGAGUGUUGGAGAGGUAGGCGGAAUUCCGGGUGUAGGGGUGAAAUACGUAGAGAUACAGAGGAAUACCAGUGGCGAAGGCGAUCUGCUGGACAAUAACUGACGCUGAGGCGCGAAAGCGUGGGGAGCAAACAGGAUUAGAUACCCGGGUAGUC
rnacentral:rRNA from 1 species